rnacentral:rRNA from 1 species
AGUGAACGCUGGCGGUAGGCCUAACACAUGCAAGUCGAACGGCAGCACAGGAGAGCUUGCUCUCUGGGUGGCGAGUGGCGGACGGGUGAGGAAUACAUCGGAAUCUACUUUUUCGUGGGGGAUAACGUAGGGAAACUUACGCUAAUACCGCAUACGACCUACGGGUGAAAGCAGGGGAUCUUCGGACCUUGCGCGAUUGAAUGAGCCGAUGUCGGAUUAGCUAGUUGGCGGGGUAAAGGCCCACCAAGGCGACGAUCCGUAGCUGGUCUGAGAGGAUGAUCCGCCACACUGGAACUGAGACACGGUCCAGACUCCUACGGGAGGCAGCAGUGGGGAAUAUUGGACAAUGGGCGCAAGCCUGAUCCAGCCAUACCGCGUGGGUGAAGAAGGCCUUCGGGUUGUAAAGCCCUUUUGUUGGGAAAGAAAUCCAGCUGGCUAAUACCCGGUUGGGAUGACGGUACCCAAAGAGUAAGCACCGGCUAACUUCGUGCCAGCCGCCGCAGUAAAAC